UGGGUGCUCUUGGAGGACCUUUGAAGGUGCAAUUUGAUACACAAAUCGGACACCAUUAAACUCACCAUUAAGACAGAGACCUUGUAGUGUUGACACAAGGGAACAGAUCCU
rnacentral:pre_miRNA from 1 species